GGAGGAGAGAGAUAUUUCUAAAGUAUCAUUAGAAUUGUAUUUAUUUUCCAGUGAACAGCUAUGAAGUGAAGAUUUUUUCAUCUAUGCACCUCUAUCAAAAAGUACUCACGUUCUUGAUGUGGUUAAGGAUCUUUAAAUAUCUCUAUAUAUUUGUACUUGAAAUUAAAGGCAUGAAGAUUUUCACCUGCAUAUUUUAUUACAGAUAUGUUUUUAAAGAUACUUGCUUAAACAAUAUCUAGUCCUAAGGAAAGACUUGAUUACAUACCUCUCAUCAGAAACUGAGUAUUUUAGAGUUUUACAGAGACAGAGAUAAUGAGCUGGCUAAUGGCAGGCUGUAGAACGAGUAACGCCUCUUGCUGGGUAAAAUAUAUUGCAUAAUGUUAACCUUUUGCACAAGCCAAACUGCUUAAGUCUCACACUGUGCCGCCUCAGAAAAGAAUCUAGCUAUGGUUGUUUUACCAUAGCAAUGCCAUUAUUCGUCUCCUAGCUUGAGAUCCACAUCAUGGCUCUGACACUUGUAAUUCUCUAUUAAGCCAUUAAAUUACAGAAUCAAACUAUUUUGCAAAACUUCAGAUUCCACUUUUCCUUUUGAAUAUUUUACUGUACCAUUGUGGUUUAAAGGAAAGAACCCUUUAAAUUCUAUAUUUACAGAAUGUUUUGUACCAUUACAAGGACAUAUUUCCAGUGCCAAACUAUGAACCCAGGCUUUCAAAUGUGAGUCAGGAUCUUCAAAUUGAUUAUAUUCAAACUUUUUUUUUAAUCAUAAGAUUAAACCAAAGCAUACUUUUUAUUUUUCUUAUUUGGUUUUGAUUCUUCACAGUACCUUUUGACAGCGUUCCCCAAAUUCUUUUUCAGUAUUUGCAAGAACCCAGGGUUCAGGAGAGCUGCAAGAAUCCUGAACUGGUAGAAAACCAAAUGUCUACCUUAGCAUGCUAGUAAUCUCUGAUUUGUCUAUGAGGCACGGGAAGUUACAUGUAGUUGUGAUUAUUGGAGUCUUCUUGGCCAAGUUAAGUAUGAACAGAUAGAACUAUUGAGAGAUCACAUAAAGAAAAAUAUUUUGGGGGAAAAAAAUGUGUUGGAGGUGUCAAUCUAAUAUUUUAAAGUAUAUGGAUACUUUGACAUAUCUAUUUCCAUACAUCAUCUCAUUCAAGGGUGGGCAGUUACAGGAUAUUAUUUUUAGUCCUAUUUAAGUAGUUAAUCCAACAAAGAGUUGAGAGAAAAGGAGUGCAAACAGUAAUGCAAGGAAUGAGUGUGUGCCAAACUAUGGGACUAUGACUGCUAUUUUCAAGUAGAUUAUUUCAAUUGGUUUGAAUGAAAAUAGACACAAAAGAUUCCUCUCACUUUGAGAAAAGAAAGUAAGAAGAUCACAAAUCAUGCUAGCUUUGAUGUGAAGCUACAGCUUUACUGAAUUUCUGAAAACAAAGCCAAUUCAGAGAGGAUUUGGCCCUUCAGGAGAUCAGGAAGGCUGACUGACGUCUUGCGCACUGCCAGUCACCAUCUGCUGUGCUGGCACCUGGUGCUGGUUUAUAUUUGACAGUAACGUUACACAGGUGUAAACAGAGGGGGAAACAAAACAAUGGUGAAUCAGGACCGUGGAGUGCUGUUGGGAAAUAUUUGUUUUACACUGUACAAAAAAAAGUUGUUCUUUCCAUUUGAGAGAAUUUGGCUCGGUGAGAAUUUGGCUAGGCCUUAUCAGGCUCGAGAUGAGCAAAGAUCAGACUUCCUGAUUGAUUCUGUACGUCACAGGACUCCAUAAAAAAUCCGAAGUAAUCCUUCAAGUGCUAUAUAAACAGUUGGGAAAGUACAUGACCUCAGGUCUUGUUAGAUGGCACUUAGGGACACGGUUCAGUAGGCAUAGUGGUGAUAGGUUAAUGGUUGGACUUGUUGACCUUAGAGGUCUUUUCCAGCCUUAAUGAUUCUAUGAUUCUUGCAAUCUUUUUCAGUAAUGACCAGUUUAGGAACCUUUUUUUCUUUUCAAGUAGAGCACUACGAACGCAUCAUUCCUUGAGGAAAAGUGUUGGCUGUCUCUCAAAAAUAGAGUAGGAUUUUCAUUCUGUAGAGGAUUGGCAACAGAGAAUAAUUCUGAAUGGAAUUAUCCAGGAAUUCCUCGAACUUUUCAGCAUUAUGCAAAUAUGAGUUUAAGAAUGAAUGCAAAUCUGAAUUUGCUUAAUUACUCUAAUUUAAAUAAUCCUUUAUAUUUCUGAUUAAAAAGGAAGUCCUUGAAAACUAAAUCAGUUUUGAAUUUAACCCUUUGGCCCUGCACUACAGAGCACUGACAAAUCUUUCUGAGGCACCAGCAGCCUGUUUUGAUGCAGCUGCUUUAGCCAAUGCGCUUGUUUUCAGUUUAUCUACUGUUCAUAGGGAACACUUCAAUAUAGAGACUUUCAAAUUUCAGAAUGCCUUCAAUAAUUAACUAUGAUUAGAGCUGUGUUUAGAAAUUGACACACUCAAGAUCAUGGUUUAGUAGGACUCACUUCACGUACUGAAAGAAGAAUCAUAGAAUCUAGAAUGACAAGGUUGGAAGGACCUAGAAGAUCAUCUAGUCCAACCGUUCUCCCAUUACCAGUGCUACCACAAGCCACUGCACCAUAUCUUAUAGCUCCUCAUCCAGACGCCUCUUGAACACUGCCAGGGAUGGUGACUCCACAACAUCCCUGGGCAGGCCAUUCCAGUGCCUGACCACUCUCUGAGAGGAAAAAGCUUUUCCUUAUGUCUAAUCUAAAUCUCCUCUGGCACAUCUUGUGGCCAUUUCCUUGGGUCCUGUUUGUUGCCUGGGAGAAGAGGUCAAACCCCUCCUCAUCACAACCUCCCUUCAGGAAGUUGCAGAGUACAAUGAGGUCUCCCCUGAGCCUCCUUGUCUGCAGAUUAAACAAUCCCAGCUCCCUCAGCCACUCCUCAGAAGACCUGUGCUCCAGACCCCUCACCAGUUUCGUUGCCGUUCUCUGGACACGUACCAGGGCCUCAAUGUCUUUCUUGUAGUGAGGGGCCCAAAACUGAACACAAUACUCAAGGUGAGGCCUCACCAGUGCUGAGUACAGGGAGAUGAUUACCUCCCUGCUCCUGCUGGCCACACUAUGUUGUGAUUCCAUUCAUAGCAGAGGAAAACUUGUAUUGAUUUUUCUUGGAGAUACCAAAAAUGCACACACAUGUAAGCAGAACCAUGGGUAGGGUGGAGUAUCUUCAGCCACUCCUGUUGGUACAACUUAGGCAGACAAUUACUGUCAUCUGGAACAACGGGCAGCUGGGCUGGAUCAGGAUCUGCCUAAGCCUCCACCUGCCAACCCCCAGGGAGGCAUGAAAGUACCUCAGCUGCUCAGGCUCUGUAAUUCAGAAAGAAUUUAGGUUUUCCAAUAGCAGAAUUUCUGUGGUUGUUGCACUCCGGAUCUUUCUGGUAGAUGGUUAUACUGUGCCUUUCUUAUUAUCUUUUCCCCCCACUCGAUUGUUUGUGCAUUGUGGUAUGAAAUUUGUUUGUGAACAAUUUAUCCAAACGAGUGUCACUGCUGGUGAAGUAUCUUAACCAUGCCUGCAUCACAGUGCUGGUACCCUGCAGGUACCCUGCCUGCUUGGUGCACUGUGCAAAUGUUGGGUUUGGAAAAUUUGGGAUCAGGGCCAGUGCCUCAACUCACCCAGUUCAGCGUGUCUCUACAGAGGUCCUAAUGAGAAUCUGCUUUAAAAAUGUAACUUUAAAAUAAGUAUCCCUGUAGUGAGCAGUAUCAAUUCAGAAGGAGCGUAAGAAAUUCUGUAGCAGGGAGUUAGAGAGCUGCUGCUGCUCGGCUGCUGUCCUGCAGCAUGAGGACUCGUAUGUAACGCACUUGGGUGAUGGCCUCGGGAAUAUCCCUGCGACCGCUCACUUCCCUCGUUUGUUCGCUCGGAAGGCCGCGUGGAACCUCACGCUCUGUGCGGUGCGGUGCGGAUGGAGCCCCGCUG
ensembl:lncRNA